rnacentral:lncRNA from 1 species
GAGACGGCGCCCAACCUUCCUCUGCAGCGCCCCUACCGACCCGCGCUCCGCAGCUCCUGAGGGCUUUCGAGCCCAGAUGGUCAUCUGAGACGAGAGGUGGCGGCGAAGGAGAGUCUCGCCUGUCACGCUCCCGGAGCAGGGGCUUCAUGAGGUGGCCAUGGAAACAGCCUGGCAGACUCCCAUCUCUCCUGGUGCCAUCUCCGGAGCGGAAAGUGGAGCGCCCCGCUGGCGACCAAGGCCGCACUGAGAGCCCUGGUUUGGUCAACAGUUGGGCUCCAAGGAGCCCUGGUAUUCCUUGAACAUGCAUACCUUUCCCAGCGUGAGGGACAUGGACCGUGCCGUGCGAGGGACCCCAUCUUCUGCAGCAGGAGGGAGCAGAGAAGAGAACACAGCCACCCUCAUCAGCCAGAGUUCAAACCCUGACAGUGCCCAUGGAGAGAUCUGGUCCAAGGCACCAACCUCUUCCUGCUGGACUGAGAAAGAGCCUCCUACUGUGUCUCUCUUUACCUCAGCUUUUGCACACCUCCAAUAUAUUGUCCACUGAAGUCAGAAUAAUCUAAAAAUAAAGGCUGAUUACCUCAUGUGGUAUAAACUUA